GGUUAAGUUAGAAAGGGCGCACGGUGGAUGCCUUGGCACUAGGAGCCGAUGAAGGACGGGACGAACACCGAUAUGCUUCGGGGAGCUGUAAGCAAGCUUUGAUCCGGAGAUUUCCGAAUGGGGAAACCCACCACUCGUAAUGGAGUGGUAUCCAUAUCUGAAUACAUAGGAUAUGAGAAGGCAGACCCGGGGAACUGAAACAUCUAAGUACCCGGAGGAAGAGAAAGCAAAUGCGAUUCCCUGAGUAGCGGCGAGCGAAACGGGAUCAGCCCAAACCAAGAGGCUUGCCUCUUGGGGUUGUAGGACACUCUGUACGGAGUUACAAAGGAACGAGGUAGAUGAAGAGGUCUGGAAAGGCCCGCCAUAGGAGGUAACAGCCCUGUAGUCAAAACUUCGUUCUCUCCUGAGUGGAUCCUGAGUACGGCGGAACACGUGAAAUUCCGUCGGAAUCCGGGAGGACCAUCUCCCAAGGCUAAAUACUCCCUAGUGACCGAUAGUGAACCAGUACCGUGAGGGAAAGGUGAAAAGCACCCCGGAAGGGGAGUGAAAGAGAUCCUGAAACCGUGUGCCUACAAGUAGUCAGAGCCCGUUAACGGGUGAUGGCGUGCCUUUUGUAGAAUGAACCGGCGAGUUACGAUCCCGUGCAAGGUUAAGCAGAAGAUGCGGAGCCGCAGCGAAAGCGAGUCUGAAUAGGGCGAAUUGAGUACGUGGUCGUAGACCCGAAACCAGGUGAUCUACCCAUGUCCAGGGUGAAGUUCAGGUAACACUGAAUGGAGGCCCGAACCCACGCACGUUGAAAAGUGCGGGGAUGAGGUGUGGGUAGGGGUGAAAUGCCAAUCGAACCUGGAGAUAGCUGGUUCUCUCCGAAAUAGCUUUAGGGCUAGCCUCAAGGUAAGAGUCUCGGAGGUAGAGCACUGAUUGGACUAGGGGCCCCUACCGGGUUACCGAAUUCAGUCAAACUCCGAAUGCCGAUGACUUAUCCUUGGGAGUCAGACUGCGAGUGAUAAGAUCCGUAGUCGAAAGGGAAACAGCCCAGACCGCCAGCUAAGGUCCCAAAGUAUACGUUAAGUGGAAAAGGAUGUGGAGUUGCUUAGACAACCAGGAUGUUGGCUUAGAAGCAGCCACCAUUUAAAGAGUGCGUAAUAGCUCACUGGUCGAGUGACUCUGCGCCGAAAAUGUACCGGGGCUAAACGUAUCACCGAAGCUGCGGACUGUUCUUCGAACAGUGGUAGGAGAGCGUUCUAAGGGCUGUGAAGCAAGACCGGAAGGACUUGUGGAGCGCUUAGAAGUGAGAAUGCCGGUAUGAGUAGCGAAAGAGGGGUGAGAAUCCCCUCCACCGAAUGCCUAAGGUUUCCUGAGGAAGGCUCGUCCGCUCAGGGUUAGUCGGGACCUAAGCCGAGGCCGAAAGGCGUAGGCGAUGGAUAACAGGUUGAUAUUCCUGUACCACCUCCUCACCAUUUGAGCAAUGGGGGGACGCAGGAGGAUAGGGUAAGCGCGGUAUUGGAUAUCCGCGUCCAAGCAGUUAGGCUGGGAAAUAGGCAAAUCCGUUUCCCGUGAAGGCUGAGCUGUGAUGGCGAGCGAAUUAUAGUAGCGAAGUUCCUGAUUCCACACUGCCAAGAAAAGCCUCUAGCGAGGUGAGAGGUGCCCGUACCGCAAACCGACACAGGUAGGCGAGGAGAGAAUCCUAAGGUGAUCGAGAGAACUCUCGUUAAGGAACUCGGCAAAAUGACCCCGUAACUUCGGGAGAAGGGGUGCUCUGUUAGGGUGCAAGCCCGAGAGAGCCGCAGUGAAUAGGCCCAGGCGACUGUUUAGCGAAAACACAGGUCUCUGCGAAGCCGUAAGGCGAAGUAUAGGGGCUGACGCCUGCCCGGUGCUGGAAGGUUAAGAGGAGCGCUUAGCGUAAGCGAAGGUGCGAAUUGAAGCCCCAGUAAACGGCGGCCGUAACUAUAACGGUCCUAAGGUAGCGAAAUUCCUUGUCGGGUAAGUUCCGACCCGCACGAAAGGCGCAACGAUCUGGGCACUGUCUCAACGAGAGACUCGGUGAAAUUAUAGUACCUGUGAAGAUGCAGGUUACCCGCGACAGGACGGAAAGACCCCGUGGAGCUUUACUGCAGCCUGAUAUUGAAUGUUGGUACAGCUUGUACAGGAUAGGUAGGAGCCUUGGAAACCGGAGCGCCAGCUUCGGUGGAGGCAUCGGUGGGAUACUACCCUGGCUGUAUUGACCUUCUAACCCGCCGCCCUUAUCGGGCGGGGAGACAGUGUCAGGUGGGCAGUUUGACUGGGGCGGUCGCCUCCUAAAAGGUAACGGAGGCGCCCAAAGGUUCCCUCAGAAUGGUUGGAAAUCAUUCGCAGAGUGUAAAGGCACAAGGGAGCUUGACUGCGAGACCUACAAGUCGAGCAGGGACGAAAGUCGGGCUUAGUGAUCCGGUGGUUCCGCAUGGAAGGGCCAUCGCUCAACGGAUAAAAGCUACCCCGGGGAUAACAGGCUUAUCUCCCCAAGAGUCCACAUCGACGGGGAGGUUUGGCACCUCGAUGUCGGCUCAUCGCAUCCUGGGGCUGUAGUCGGUCCCAAGGGUUGGGCUGUUCGCCCAUUAAAGCGGUACGCGAGCUGGGUUCAGAACGUCGUGAGACAGUUCGGUCCCUAUCCGUCGCGGGCGCAGGAAAUUUGAGAGGAGCUGUCCUUAGUACGAGAGGACCGGGAUGGACGCACCGCUGGUGUACCAGUUGUUCUGCCAAGGGCAUCGCUGGGUAGCUAUGUGCGGACGGGAUAAGUGCUGAAAGCAUCUAAGCAUGAAGCCCCCCUCAAGAUGAGAUUUCCCAUUCCGCAAGGAAGUAAGAUCCCUGAAAGAUGAUCAGGUUGAUAGGUCUGAGGUGGAAGUGUGGCGACACAUGGAGCUGACAGAUACUAAUCGAUCGAGGACUUAACCAA
rnacentral:rRNA from 1 species